rnacentral:ncRNA from 1 species
AUGAACCGAUACCGGAGGGGGAUAAGGAUUAUCCGGGGGAUGACCUGCGAAAGCAGGCGGCUGCUCAGAGAGCACAACCGAUGCCCCGCAACACCUCAACAGCGACCCGCCCCGGCGCUCAGGUAUCGUUCG